rnacentral:rRNA from 1 species
UACGUAGGGCGCAAGCGUUGUCCGGAAUUAUUGGGCGUAAAGAGCUCGUAGGCGGUUUGUCGCGUCUGCUGUGAAAAACCUAAGGCUCAACCUUGGGCUUGCAGUGGGUACGGGCAGACUAGAGUGCGGUAGGGGUGACUGGAAUUCCUGGUGUAGCGGUGGAAUGCGCAGAUAUCAGGAGGAACACCGGUGGCGAAGGCGGGUCUCUGGGCCGUAACUGACGCUGGAGGAGCGGAAAAGCGUGGGGAGCGAACAGG